GUCUGAUCCUGGUCAGAUUGAACGCUGGCGGGAUUUUACAAGCACAUGCAAGUCGAACGGCAGCACGUGCGGACUUCUCUGGUCUGGUGGCGAGUGGCGAACGGGUGAGUAAGCAAAAUGUAUCGGAACGUGCCUAGUAGAAGCGGAUAACUACGCGAAAGGUAGCUAAAGGUAUCACCGUAUACGCCGCCCUUCGGGGAAAGCGCGGGACCUUCUCUGGGCCUUCCUCCUCGUACCGCCAGAGGGCUUAGCCCAGGAUAUCGAUUUUCAGCUUAGGUUGGUGGGGUACCCGCCUUCACUAUGACGAUCCGGUAGCUGGUUUGAGAGGACGACCAGCCACACUGGGACUUAGGAAAGGUAGGAGGACACGCCCAGACUACGGUGAGGCAGGGACCCCUUUGACACAACAAUGGGGGAAACCCUCUUUCUCUCCUGAUCCAGCCAUCCCGCGCGCGCGGGAUGAAGGCCUCUUUUCGGGUUGUAAAAGAACACCCUUGGCAGGGGUGCGCAAAGCAUGAAACGGCACGGGAUAAUACCCCGCGCAACUGAUUUGCGGCUUCCGGGCAGGCAUCGCUACACCGGCAACUACCCAGCAGCCGCGGCAGGCGGUAAUACGUAGGGUGCAAGCGUAGUUAUUAAUCGAAUUAACAUUGGGCGCAAAAGCGUGCGCAGGCGGUUCGAAAGAAAAGAUGAAAUCCCAGAGCUUAACUUUGAACUGCAUUUUUAACUUUUACCGAGCUAGGAGAGGUAAAUGAGGGAGGUGGAAUUCCGCGUGUAGCAGUGGAAAUGCGUAGAUAUGCGGAGGAACACCUGAUGGCGAAGGCAGCCUCCAGGGACAAUACUGACGCCUUUCCUCAUGCACGAUAGCGUGGAGCAAACAGGAUUAGAUACACACCCGGUGGUCCACGCCUCAAACGAUGUCAACUAGCUGCUGGGCCUUUCUGCCUUUGCAGCGCAGCCAACGCGAAGCCGACCGUGCCUGGGAGUACGGCCUGCAAGAUUAAACUCAAAGGAAUUGAUUUGGACCCGCACAAGCGGUGGAUGAUGUGGAUUAAUUCGAUGCAACGCGAAAACCUUACCUACCCUUGACAUGUCUGAAUCCCGAAGAGAUUUGGGAGUGCCUGCAAGAGAACCGGAACACAGGUGCUGCAUGGCUGUCGUCAGGCUCGUGUCGAGAUGUUGGGUUAAGUCCCGCAACGAGCGCAACCCUUGUCAUUAGUUGCUACGAAAGGGCACUCCAAUGAGACUGCCGGUGACAAACCGAGGAAGGUGGGGAUGACGUCAAGUCCUCAUGGCCCUUAUGGGUAGGCUUCACACGUCAUACAAUGGUCGGGACAGAGGGUCGCCAACCCGCGAGGGGGAGCCAAUCCCAGAACCCGGAUCGUAGUCCGGAUCGCAGUCCAAACUCGACUGCGUGAAGUCGGAAUCGCUGGUAAUCGCGGAUCAGCAUGUCGCGGUGAAUACGUUCCCGGGUCUUGUACACACCGCCCGUCACACCAUGGAGUGGGUUUUACCAGAAGUAGUUAGCCUAACCGUAAGGAGGGCGAUUACCACGGUAGGAUUCAUGACUGGGGUGAAGUCGUAACAAGGUAAC
rnacentral:rRNA from 1 species